rnacentral:rRNA from 1 species
UACGUAGGGUGCAAGCGUUUAUCCGGAAUUAUUGGGCGUAAAGAGCUCGUAGGCGGUUUGUCGCGUCUGCUGUGAAAACUGGAGGCUCAACCUCCAGCCUGCAGUGGGUACGGGCAAACUAGAGUGCGGUAGGGGAGAUUGGAAUUCCUGGUGUAGCGGUGGAAUGCGCAGAUAUCAGGAGGAACACCGAUGGCGAAGGCAGGUCUCUGGGCCGAUACUGACGCUGAGGAGCGAAAGCGUGGGGAGCGAACAGG